rnacentral:misc_RNA from 1 species
AUGUGAUUGUGGAGGUUGGGAUUUAGGUUGCAAACUCAGGAUUUUUGCCAACCAGGGUCAACUUGGUAAGAAAUCAAGUCUAUCCAAAGCUUGCUCUAUGACAGAUAAAUUUGAGCUCAUCUCGCAGGUAAUGUUUUGUUGCUUUUACCAACUAGUUGUUCCUCAUACCCAGUAUUGCCAAAUGACAUCUCUUCCUUUCAAUAAUUAACCACAGGCAGGGGAAGAAGGGAACCAACCUGUCUUCAGUUUUGCUCCUUUCAAGGGCGGAAUCUAUUCAGUUGAGUUCACAUCAUCAUUUUCAAUUUUACAAGCAUUCUCACUGUGUAUAGCAAUUCUAGACAGUAAAAAAUUGUGUGAGAUCUCAGAAUCGUGCAACUAGUUUGAAAGAAAAACUUUUCUGGAAACCAUACCAGCGCGAAAUGCUGGAAUAACUGGGGAAAUGCCUGCAAGCUAUGUCCCAUAUCCACCCCAUUCUCCUGUUGGAAGGGUCUAGUUUUAUAAGGAAUGAUCUGGUAAUUACACACAGGUGGUACAGAUAGAUAAAUAGCCAGUUUCACAAGUGGGUGGACAGCAAAUGAAUCCUGCACUCGAGUGCAUCUCAUUGAUAUAGGAAAACAAAAUAGAACCUGCAAGAACAUGGGAAAUAAAGUAAGAAACCUAGAAGCCUGAGAGCAUGUAUUUUGUAUUAGGAUUAAGUGUAAAUAGAGAAAUAUAUUCAUCCAUGUAAUUGUACAUAUAAUGACUUUUAAAUGAACUUUUGGCUCAAAAAGCCCUUCUCUGCAAAUAGAUUAAAAACAAGAAAG